GUAAGUCUCAGUUCGGAUUGAAGGCUGAAAUUCGCCUUUAUGAAGCCGGAAUUGCUAGUAAUGGCAGGUCAGCAUACUGCCGUGAAUACGUUCCCGGGCCUUGUACACACCGCCCGUCACACCAUGAGAGUUGGGAAUACCCGAAGCCUGUGAGCUAACUUUUAGAGGCAGCAGUCGAAGGUAGAAUCAAUGAUUGGGGUGAAGUCGUAACAAGGUACC
rnacentral:rRNA from 1 species